ensembl:lncRNA
CCCCGCCUUGCGCCCGAUGCUCCCUGGGAUAGGCUCCAGUCAAUAUUCAAACAAGAGCUCAUAAAGACUGUUGAAAGUUGUUUUUGCUUUUCAAAUGGAACGGAGUGGAACUUCUAUCUUCCCAGAUUGCAAGGAGAUUUGUAAGAAGAUGCCUCAACUCCAAUUCUUACAUCUGUCAAGGGUUUAAAUGACUUUAACAAAUGUCACCUGAAUUUCAUGCAAUUGUUUGUUUAUUUUGUGAGUAUUUUAGUAGAAUUUUAGCAUACAAACAAAUUGCAUUUUAGGAUAAUUGUAGAGAAAAAAUAUAUAAACAACACAUCUGUUACUUUGUAUUGCAUCUUCGUGUGGAAAUGUACUAACACACUGAUUGUGUUAAAAGCAACACAAAAUGUGUUGUCCUUAACUAGACACGCAGGUGUGUUCAAAAUUAAUAUGGCGUUAUUUUAACACAUCUAUUUUAAGAGUUCAUAUCAGGUAUUUCAUGUAUUUUCUGCUCCUAGCAAGUUCAGGUAUUUCAUGUGUUCCAGCUCAAGCACACCUGGUGCAAUUGUUGAAGCCCUUGAUUAGUUGCAUCAGGUGUGCUUGAGACAACACCUGUUUUGCAUAUUAGUGCUGUUGUGAUGGAUUCUAUUCAGGCGGUUGAAUAAUUUUUAAACUGGAGAAAUCAUUAUAAGUUGCUUUUUCAGUUGAAUUUGGGGAAACCACUUGAAUCAUUCAUUGUGUUGAAAUAUUUCAAUUGCUUUUGUUUGAUUUGUUCAUUGCAAACAGCUGACAGUAUGUAAAUUUUGACAGUAAACCUGAUUUGCAAUGGAGGUUGAAUAAUUUUGAUUGCAACUGUAUCUAACUAGUUGUCAACUGGUCUUUCU